UGUUAGUGCAAAGAGAAACCAGGAAAUGGAGGAACCAUUUUGCCUGCAUGAGCAGGGGGACGGGCUGCAUUAAUCCAACACAGGUGGCAGGAAUGGGAACAGGCAUACUUGAUUUGCAGUCAGACUUCAGCUUGAAUCUGUGAAGGGGUUGUUAGUUACAAAGAAAAUCCUACUUCAGUGCCAUCAAAACUGUCCAGGCCUUCAAAGAUAUUCAAAAGUCAUCGCUGGUCUCAGAGCUGACAGACUUCAGCAGAUCUGAACUAGAGGAAGGAAGAUGAUGUCCUUGGACAAGCUGGAGAAUGCAGUCCAUAACCCGGUCAUUCCAUAUGUUGGGAGUAUCCUUAGUGGUCUUCUUCCUGGAGAUCUCAUUGUGAUGCAUGGAAACAUUCCUGAUGAUGCUGACAGGUUCCAGGUGGACCUCCAGUGUGGCAGUAGUAUAAAACCUCGUGCUGAUGUGGCCUUUCACUUUAAUCCCCGUUUCAAGAGAUCUGGCUGUAUUGUCUGUAAUACAUUGCAGAGGGAAAAAUGGGGUUCAGAAGAGAUCACUUAUGAAAUGCCUUUUCAAAAAGGCAAGCCAUUCAAGAUUGUCUUUAUGGUUUUGAAGGAUAAAUUCCAGGUGGCUGUAAAUGGAAAACACUUGCUUCUGUACAAACAUAGAAUCAACCUUGAGAAAAUAGAUACACUUGGAAUAUAUGGCAGAGUGCAGAUUGAAAUUAUAGAGUUUGUUUCCAACAAGUCUUUACAAGGCUCUCAGCCAUCGUCUCUAGGAAUAACAAAGAUAAACGCAGAAAAUGGGGCAGUGCCAGAUGGUUCACAAUUUGCAGUUCCUUACCUUGCAAGGCUUAAUUCUGCACUUGGUCCUGGACGCACAGUUACCAUCAAAGGAGAAGUGAAUAAAAACCCAAACAGCUUUACUAUUAACCUAAAAUCAAGCAACUCUGAUAUUGCCCUGCACCUGAAUCCCCGCAUGAAAAACGAAGUUUUUGUGAGAAAUUCUUACCUUCAUGAUAGCUGGGGAGAAGAAGAAAAGGAGGUGGCUCAUUUCCCCUUCAGCCCAGGAAUGUAUUUUGAGCUCAUCAUUUUCUGUGACGCUCAUGAGUUCAAGGUUGCUAUCAAUGGGGUGCACGUCUUAGAGUACAAGCAUCGAUUUAAACAGCUGGGCAUGAUCAACCUAUUGGAGAUCACUGGAGACAUUGAGUUACUGGAUGUGAGGAGCUGGUAGUUUUCCAUUAGGCUGAAGAAUCCUUAUAAUGCUAUUUUAACAAAGAUUUUUUUUCUUUUUAGUCCAGACGUGGUGCUGAGUUUUCCAGGCUGUCGUCUUUUUUUCCAGGGUUUUAUAAUAAUGCCUAUCAUAAUGGCUGAGUGCUGAGCCCUAUUAAACUAGAUCUUCCCUAGUCUUCAGUAUACUGACAAAUAAAACUGAUGUUAUCUGCUUCAGUAGGCCUAAUGCUCCUGCUGUAUGAAGAAUUUAACUACCAAACCCUAGCAAUAUAAAGAAGUUGCCUUACAGCAUAUGUAAGAAAUACAGCUUGCAUAGCAAGAGUCUAGAAUAAAGAGAGCAUUCCUUAAUAGAAUAUUCUCAACUUCAUGAUCAGUAUUAUCUUGAUUACAGCUGGACUGAAAUAUGAUUCAUAAAUCUGAAAAUGGAGCAUCAGCUUCUCCAGGGAUCAAGUCAUAAGGGAAUUGUAAAAGAAGGGAGUAUGCUGCUCAGCAGGAAUGCGUGCAACCUCUUGGCUUUAUGUUUUUUAUGUUAAGCGAACAAUAAUGAGAUGACUGGAGUUACUGUAUAUAAAAAUAGACUAAUAUACUGAUGAUGAAUCAGGUCCAUAAUAUGUUUAAACAAUAAUAGUGUUUUUCAGCCUGAAGUCUAAAAGCAUGUCCUAAGCCAUUGUGCAGCACUUGGCCUAAUGAGAGACUUUUUCCACUGUUGGUUCUGUCCUGCGGUGCAAAGCCACUUCCUGACUAAUCAUAUCCACUUCUUCUACUAGGGUAGUUAAAGAUAACACCUACUGCUUCCUCAACAGGUUUGUGGGCCAGAUCUGUAAUUGAAGUUGGACUGGUGCAUGAUAGUGACGCACUUAGUUCAGUUGGCAGUAGAAAAGUGAUUUUACUAGAACUUGUCAAUUUUUGGACUGUGUAGAGUCCAAAGAGUUCUUAUCUGAUUCAGACUGUUCAGGGAUGCUUUCUGGUAUCUGUUUUUAGGAGGGAUGCACCUGUGAACAUUAUAUGCAAAGCCUGGCCACUGGUUCAACAUGAGAGUACUCUACUACCUUGCACUGUCUGAAACAAGCAGCUGGUAUAUAUUCUACUCCAUCUUCUUUGCUGAGUACUUGAGGGCAAUUUCAUUAGUAUUUCCCUGAGCAGAGGUUCCCAACCACGGGGCAUGAGCCCCCCACUCAGAGCCCCGUCUGUCUGCCUGGGCAAGCAGCUUCUAGGGGUGUCACAGCUGAGCUUCUGGGGUUAAAGCCGGGUGGCAGGGGAGCCCCAGGAGGGAGGCAGCUGGCUCUGUGCGCCCUCAUUCUGCUUCUGCUGGGCCACGGGGGGGGGGGAGUUGGGAACCACUGUCCCUGAGAGAGUCUACUGUAUUUACAACUUCUUACAAUGAAAGUUGCUGUUGAUUGGCAGUUUUGUUUCCCUAGAAAUGUAUUAGCCUUAAAGCUAAAAAAGGGAAGCAUUUCUAUCUAACACCCAUAUAUCUUAAUUUAAAUUCUUAGGUUUUUGGUCAGGCAGUUUCCAAUGAGAAUAAAAUGUAUAGUAGAUUUGAAAGACAUUUUUGUUUUCUUUUAAAUGUUUAAAAGAAUGCUUUUAAAAAUCUAAAAGAUGUAGUUUCUCUAAACUUGUAAAAGGAAUGUAAAAAAGCAGAACUUAAAAUAAAAUUUUGUGAACAAUG